rnacentral:tRNA from 1 species
AAUAGCUCGUCCAAUAACAAGACAACUAAUUUCGACUUAGUAAAUCGUGAUUUACUUCACGGCUAUUAA